UACAGAGGUCCCAAGCGUUGUUCGGAUUCAUUGGGCGUAAAGGGUGCGUAGGUGGCGCCGUAAGUCGGGUGUGAAAUUUCGGAGCUUAACUCCGAAACUGCAUUCGAUACUGCGGUGCUUGAGGACUGGAGAGGAGACUGGAAUUCAUGGUGUAGCAGUGAAAUGCGUAGAGAUCAUGAGGAAGACCAGUGGCGAAGGCGGGUCUCUGGACAGUUCCUGACACUGAGGCACGAAGGCCAGGGGAGCAAACAGG
rnacentral:rRNA from 1 species